rnacentral:rRNA from 1 species
UCAUAUGCUUGUCUCAAAGAUUAAGCCAUGCAUGUCUAAGUUCACGUCACGAUAAAGAAUGGUCGAAACCGCGAAUGGCUCAGGAACCGGAUCUAAUCCUCGGGAUCGUAUUUAUAUAUAUGUUUUCUACCAGGAAAGUAAAAAGUAAAGUGGAUAACUGUGGCAAUUCUAGAGCUAAUACAUGCAACUAAAGCCAUGAUCGUCGGACGGUAGGUAAUGUUGUUCGGUUAAUGCAUCGAUUCUUCGUGGUCGUUGCGCGUUCGUUUCGUUCGUCGGCUUCCUCGUUGUUCGUGUAGCUACUCGCAAUUUAUUACUCCGUCCGUAUGUGAUCGCGGCGCAACAUAUUAGACUGAGACCGAUGCGUUUUGCAGUUCGUCGUUGUCGUCGUYGUCGUCGUCGUCGUCGUCGUUUCUGCGCGCUCGCUUCUUUUUUGGUGACUCUGGAUAACACAAUUGUCGAUCGCUAUGGAUGAUGUUUGUUCGUCAAACAUUAACCGGCGACGGAUCCCUCGUGGGUCCGCCCUAUCAACUGUCGACGGUCGGUUAAGUGCCUACCGUGGUUGCCACGGGUAACGGGGAAUCAGGGUUCGAUUCCGGAGAGGGAGCAUGCGAAACGGCUACCACAUCCAAGGAAGGCAGCAGGCGCGCAAAUUACCCACUCCCGGCACGGGGAGGUAGUGACGAAAAAUAACGACGCGGGACUCUGUCGAGGCCCCGCGAUCGGAAUGAAUACACCUCAAAUCCGUUAAUGAGGAUCGACCGGAGGGCAAGUCUGGUGCCAGCAGCCGCGGUAAUUCCAGCUCCGGUAGCGUAUAUUAAAUUUGUUGCGGUUAAAAAGCUCGUAGUCCGAAUUCGGGUCUAAAGAAAAAAAAACGUUUUUGCGAAACAAAAACGUUCGGGGCGUCGGCGCCAUUGUUCGUCAUUCGAAAUUUUGGUUGAAUUUUUUAAAAAAAUUUCCGUUCGCACACCCGGCCCUAUCCGCCGGUACGUAUGAGGGAAGGUAAAUUCGUGUGGUCGUGGUUGACAAACGAUUUCGUAGUAGUAGUUGGCGUCGUGUCGUCGUYUUUUGUUUUGUCACGUCUUUUCGGUGGUGGUUUUGUUACAAUGAUAAUUGGUGUGUAAACAAAAAAAGUUAGAUACCUUCGGUUUCGUUUCUUUGAUACACGUUAUUUUUUCCUUUAUACACAUGUCGCCGUCGUCGUCGACUACAACACUUCUUCGUCGUCACAUCUACGUCUUCUUCUUUUCUGCAAUCUCCAAAAGCGUCGCCGCGAUACCGUUUACUAAACGAGUUCGCGUCGUGUCCCUUGUUCGAUUCCUCCGAGGGUGCUCUUCACCGAGUGUCCGAGGCGGCCGGUAUGUUCACUUUGAAAAAAUUAGUGUGCUCAGAGCGAGCUCCGUUAAGCUUGCAUACGAUAAGCAUGGAAUGAUAGAAAAGGGCCUCGUCCACGUCUGUCGGUCUCCGUUUAAGACGAGGCAAUGAUCGAAGGGAGCGGUUCGGGGCCACUCGUAUUGCGACGUUAGAGGUGAAAUUCUUGGAUCGUCGCAAGACGUACUGCAGCGAUGGCGUGUGGCAAGGACGUUUUCCUCGAUCAAGAGCGAAAGUCGGAGGUUCGAAGACGAUCAGAUACCGUCGUAGUUCCGACUGUAAACGAUGCCGACUGGCGAUACGCCGGCGUUCGCUUCGAUGACCCGGCGGGUAGCCUGCGGGAAACCAGAGUUGGUUCCGGGGGGAGUAUGGUUGCAAAAUCGAAACUUAAAGGAAUUGACGGAAGGGCACCACCAGGAGUGGAGCCUGCGGCUUAAUUUGACUCAACACGGGAAAACUCACCCGGUCCGGACACCGGUAGGAUUGACAGAUCGAUAGCUCUUUCUCGAUUCGAUGGAUGGUGGUGCAUGGCCGUUCUUAGUUGGUGGAGCGAUCCGUCUGGUUGAUUCCGAUAACGAACGAGUCU